rnacentral:rRNA from 1 species
AGCGAACGCUGGCGGCAGGCCUAACACAUGCAAGUCGAACGAACCCUUCGGGGUUAGUGGUGACGGGUGAGUAACACGUGGGAACGUGCCUUUAGGUUCGGAAUAACUCAGGGAAACUUGUGCUAAUACCGAAUGUGCCCUUCGGGGGAAAGAUUUAUCGCCUUUAGAGCGGCCCGCGUCUGAUUAGCUAGUUGGUGAGGUAAUGGCUCACCAAGGCUACGAUCAGUAGCUGGUCUGAGAGGAUGACCAGCCACAUUGGGACUGAGACACGGCCCAAACUCCUACGGGAGGCAGCAGUGGGGAAUCUUGCGCAAUGGGCGAAAGCCUGACGCAGCCAUGCCGCGUGGAUGAUGAAGGUCUUAGGAUUGUAAAAUCCUUUCACCAGUGAAGAUAAUGACUGUAGCCGGAGAAGAAGCCCCGGCUAACUUCGUGCCAGCAGCCGCCGUAACAC